rnacentral:lncRNA from 1 species
GAAGAUGUCAUAUCCUUAUGGCAUCAGGACUUCAUUGCUUCCACAUCCCCAGGGAGCCCAGGAGGUGCCAUAUUGUUUUCCUGCACUCACUGUUGCACACCCCCACCCUCACACUGCCUCCAGGAAGAGCGUGAGGGACAGGAUCACCCUGUCCAGGGGCUGGGUGCCUGUGCUUGGCCGUUCUGCUUGAUAAAACACAUCAAUGUUUACUUGGCAUCAGAGACGUGCACAUUGCCUUUGCCUACCUAUAAUCAGCGCCUCCAACUUCCUGCUCUAAUUAGCCCCUGGGGAGGCUUUGUUGGUAAUGGCCCUCAGUGGGACCCAUUAGCGCACCAAGAAACUUUGGAAUUUGCUUCUGACUUUAACUUCUUGAAAGGUUUGUUCAGUCUCCCCUCAGUAUCUGAGGUUCAUGGACUCAGCACCAAAUACACCAGAGGGGCCAUUAAAAUGCAAAAAACCCGAACAAGCUAUGUCACCCCCCCUAAUUUUCUUCAGUUCUUCAAUUCUUGUAUGGCUAAUUGGAGAGGUUUCAAGAGUGUAUUUACAAGAGGAAGAUUUCAAAGAGCACCGAAAAAAAAAAAAAAACAGCAGCUUGUGGGGUUCAGAUGUGACUUCAGGAAAAGGAAGUGUCACUUGAAGGGUAGAGCUGUGGUGCUACAGGUCACCCAGAGGGAGUCUGUGAUUAGACCCUGCCUUUGUGUUUCAAGGAAAAUCAAGUGAGGAUAGAGAGACAUGAGUAGGGGUACGGAGAUCCCAGGGUGAGAGCAAGGUGGCAAAGCAGGUUGGCUGUCUGCAGUCUGCAGGGAAACAGGCAUAGGCGUGGGACAGCACAGGACAGCCUGUGGUGGAGACAGCCGAGGGCACUGCCAAGGCUGAAAGCUGCCUACAAAACUGAGGUCUUUGUCCUUUUGGCUAUGGCUGUUGUCUCUGCCACUGAGGCCCUCAAGAAGAUGUUUCCUUAAAGCACUGUGACCUCGCUGCCUUCUCGUUCCUGGGGACUCAGGAGGUGCUGUAUGGCUGUCCUGCACUUGGUGUUGCAUCCUCCCACCCUCACACUGCCCCCAGGAAGAGCCCUGAGCAAAGCAUGAGGGAAAGGAUCACCCUAACCAGCGGCUGGGUCUCAGUGCCUGGCCAUUCUGUUUGAUAAAACAUGUCAAGGUUUACUUGGCAUCAGAGCC